rnacentral:rRNA from 1 species
AGCAGCCGCGGUAAUUCCAGCUCCAAUAGCGUAUAUUAAAGUUGUUGCAGUUAAAAAGCUCGUAGUUGAAUUUCGGGAUCAUCAGGUUGGUCGUGCCUCUGGUAUGUACUUUCCUCGAUGGUUCCUCCUUCUUGAAGAACCGUAAUGCCAUUAAUUUGGUGUUGCGGGGAAACAGGACUGUUACUUUGAAAAAAUUAGAGUGUUUAAAGCAGGCAAUCGCUUGAAUACAUUAGCAUGGAAUAAUGAAAUAGGACGUUCGAUCCUAUUUUGUUGGUUUU